rnacentral:rRNA from 1 species
AUUGAACGCUGGCGGCAGGCUUAACACAUGCAAGUCGAGCGAGCGGCGGACGGGUGAGUAAUGUCUGGGAAACUGCCUGAUGGAGGGGGAUAACUACUGGAAACGGGAGCUAAUCCCGCAUACCAUCAGAUGUGCCCCGUGGGGAUUAGCUGGUAGGUGGGGUAAUGGCUCACCUGGGCGACGAUCCCUAGCUGGUCUGAGAGGAUGACCAGCCACACGGGAACGUAGACACGGUCCAGCCGCCUACGGGAGUCAGCAGGGGGGAAUAUUGCACAAUGGGCGCAAGCCUGAUGCAGCCAUGCCGCGUGGGUGAAGAAGGCCUUCGGGUUGUAAAGCACUUUCAGCGAGGAGGCGUUACUCGCAGAAGAAGCACCGGCUAACUCCGUGCCAGCAGCCGCGGUAAUUC